rfam:Enterobacteria phage MS2 isolate DL16, complete genome.
AGAUUCCGUCCAUUCCAACAUGAGGAUUACCCAUGU